GAAAGAAGGCAUGGUGGUAAAGUUUUCUCUUCAAUAGAGAAGGAUGAAAAACUCUUCAAAAAAGAGAAAUAUAGCAUUGCGUGCAAGAUAGUUCGGAUCAAAGCUUCGGUGAACCCAUCGAGAAUCAUUGAUGAACUAAUACUAGUUAGUACCAAACCUCCAAAGCAGUUUAUGGACGAAGCCUUUUCACUGAAUUUGCAACUUUGGGAGGUAGGAUAAGGGCUGACCUUUUCUGAAUGCAAUAUGGGCCAGGCCCAUAAAU
rnacentral:lncRNA from 1 species